UACAGAGGGUGCGAGCGUUAAUCGGAAUUACUGGGCGUAAAGCGCGCGUAGGCGGUUUGUUAAGUCAGCUGUGAAAGCCCCGGGCUCAACCUGGGAACUGCAGUUGAUACUGGCCGACUGGAGUGCGAGAGAGGGAGGUAGAAUUCCAUGUGUAGCGGUGAAAUGCGUAGAUAUAUGGAGGAAUACCGGUGGCGAAGGCGGCCUCCUGGCUCGACACUGACGCUGAGGUGCGAAAGCGUGGGGAUCAAACAGG
rnacentral:rRNA from 1 species